AUAGGCGGCUCCUGUGUAGCCACCGGCAUUAGGCGAGCCGAUGAGCAGGGUGUUGCCGUCGAACGCGAUGUCCGACGAAAAGUAGCUGCGUGGCGCCUCGUCCGACGCGACAAUCCGCUGCGUCUGCACCCACAUCCCGGAGGUCUGGCG
rnacentral:SRP_RNA from 12 species